rnacentral:siRNA from 1 species
UCUCCUCCUCCAUUGAGACCGCCU